GACCAGCGUUUGCAACCACUCGUCACCUGAACGUCUGCUAAUCACUGUUAGUGCUAAUCUGUUCAUGUCUCUUGCUGUUCGUAUUUGUGCUAACCUGAUUCUCUGUCUUCAGGUAAAUCCACGGACCACGCCUGCAAACUGUCACCGUUAAUUCAGUCUGGUCACUAGUCGCUUCUGCCAACCCACUCCACUGCCGCCCCGGUAUGGAUCUCUCUACUUUUCCUCACCUGCCUGCUCCCCCCGCCGCAGCGUCAGACCCCAUUUGGAUUCACGACGUCGCAAACUCACCUGGACCUAGCCUCGCUCCAAAGCAGUCUCCACCUGCUGACAAAGGCCCAGCACCCUCUGACUUCCAUUGGACUUUUGGAUCCCCGUUAAUGUCUUAAGAAUCCCUCCAGCCUUAGUGUCAUAGUUCCCACAGUCAUAGUCUCCCGGCCCCUGUUCAUAGUCACAGUCUACUGCUAGUGAAUAUCAUGGACGAUCUGAUAUCCUCGUGUUGGCGUUGUUCCCACAUCAUCAUAAUAAAUGUUGUUCCAGGUUCAACAUUGCAAGUGGCCAAUCACUUUCUUGUGAUGUCAUACUUCUGCGACUUCGAAAUACCCGCCUUAAAACAAAUUUUCUUCACUUGUGCCCGCCUCUGUCAAUCCAGCGCUCCACUUCACUUGCGAGAAACCGCCGCCUGUCCGCCGAAUUUGAAGUCCUUUUAGGAUACUUUUCUUUAAUAAACGAAACUGCGACUCCUUCACAAUGUCAGAUUACCUUGUGGGAGUAGCUGGACCAAACUCUAUUGGUAUUUCAAGUUUGAAAUCCCUGUUUGACCAGACAAACAUUUCAGAUGAGAAAAACAUCUUUCAGAUGUAUGAGAAAUUGAUUGGAGCCUGUCUGGAAAAUGGCAGCCACUGGACCUUGUUUGUCUGACUGCUGUAUCCUGACGUCGUGGGAAGCCAGCACCGAAGUCUGUCGACAGCCCUCUCUGGGUAGAGGUGAAAGUCCUGGAACGUCAGAAUUCGGGUCCAGGCCGGUGGUUUAGUUCUGGUCCAUGACGCUGGGAUCCAGCCAGACGGCCUGAACAACCAGCUAAAGACGACUGAAGGUGAGAAAACACUGUUUGGUCUUAAACCGCUGGAAGGGUUUAGAAGAAUGCGCAAAAUAGGUUUGCUGUAGCCGGAAUUACUUCGUGAAAUGCGCAAAAUAGGUUUGCUGUAGCCGGAAUUACUUCGUGAUACGCGUAAAAUAGGUUGGAAGUAGCCGCAAUUACUUCAUAAAA